rnacentral:rRNA from 1 species
AGUGAACGCUGGCGGUAGGCCUAACACAUGCAAGUCGAACGGCAGCACAGUAAGAGCUUGCUCUUACGGGUGGCGAGUGGCGGACGGGUGAGGAAUACAUCGGAAUCUACUUUUUCGUGGGGGAUAACGUAGUGAAACUUACGCUAAUACCGCAUACGACCUACGGGUGAAAGCAGGGGAUCUUCGGACCUUGCGCGAUUGAAUGAGCCGAUGUCGGAUUAGCUAGUUGGCGGGGUAAAGGCCCACCAAGGCGACGAUCCGUAGCAGGUCUGAGAGGAUGAUCAGCCACACUGGAACUGAGACACGGUCCAGACUCCUACGGGAGGCAGCAGUGGGGAAUAUUGGACAAUGGGCGCAAGCCUGAUCCAGCCAUACCGCGUGGGUGAAGAAGGCCUUCGGGUUGUAAAGCCCUUUUGUUGGGAAAGAAAAGCAGCAGGUUAAUACCCCGCUGUUCUGACGGUACCCAAAGAAUAAGCACCGGCUAACUUCGUG